UCUCUUCAUUGACCAAUUAUAAUUUCACAUUUUUCUCAUAAAACUAUUAUUUUGAUUGCAUGAAAAAUCAACGAAGCUAAAAAACACUCUUUCCAUGGGACAUUUCUUCGAUAUGAGGAAACAUUACAACCAGUUUCUCCACUUCCCAAAUCGACGACUGUUUUGGCUGCCGUUGCAAAAACGUAAACAAAGUCGUGAAAAGUCAGUGCAAAGUUGUAUGUUUUGGAUUAAAUACAGUGUGUCAGCACGGCCUUUGCACAGCGUCGGAACAGAAGUGUGGUAAUAUUUUGGUAUAUUUUGAAGAGGUUAAAAGGCCUGGUGUGGACUUAUGGACUCUGGCAAACCAACAAGAGACAAGUUAAAAACCAGGUGGCAUAUCGGUCCAUGGAUACAAACUAGAGGUGCCGAUAAGGCGAUAACAAAUUGUUAAGAUAAAGUGACUUAAUUGCCACCGUUAUGGUGACAAAGUUGCAAAUUGUAAGCCCACCUUUAGUAAACAAUUAAGGCUUUACAUCAAGACACAUUUUCGCAAAAACAACAAAGGAAUGAAGUUGAAAGUGGUGGCAAAAGCGAAGUCAAACGUAUCCGUCUUUUUGCAGAGAAAAAAAAUGGCACCUUUGAAUGGUUAGAUAGUUUAGAAGACGUUCCUAAACAAAGAAAAUAUAACAUAAUCAUGUAACGAAUUAUUAUUAUUUGAUUUAAUAACUGCCACAAAACAGUAAUUACCAAAUCUAGUAGCUAGGCAUUAGGCCUACGUACGCCUAGCCUAUAGCAAGGCAGCUGGAGUGUAACUGGCAGUUGUUCCAUAAGGUUGUUAUUCGAAUUUUGGACAGAUGAGCGAAAAUAAUGAGGAAUGAAUAGCAUUAAGCACAUUUACUCUGCUGAACACUAACAUAACCUUCAUCUGUAGGGACAAAAUGCCCGUGUUAAACAUUUCUAGCAUCCAGGCUAACUCUAUAAACGAAUGAAACUCUGCAUCGUAGCCAAGUCAAGGAAAUAUACGAAAUUAUUUAAUAAGUUUAUUAUUCAGUUAAGCUCUUAUACAACCUUUACUUGAAGAAAAAAAAAAUUUCUCACGAGUUUAAGACAAUAAGUCAGCCCCACUUAGCCGUAAAGAGCGAUAUUCUCAUCAGCUGAAGUGACCCGUAAACGUACAAGUUUCGCGUUGCCGUAAAAGGUCGGGAGAGACCAUAAUUACUACAACGAAAAAGACUGAAGAUGAAGUUCCGAGUCCUGUCGUGACUGAGAUUGAAAUUGGCAGACGAGGGUUGCCGCGAAACGUCAAGAUAUUCAUAUACAGUUCUUGACCUCUUAUGGAAGGUAUUUAACCAUAUCACAGUUCCAGAAUUCAGGCCAAAUGCUGAUUUCACAAUGAAGAAUCACCGAAUGUAAGAAGGUUGUCAAUGUAACACGAAUUUGAUCAGCCAAAUAGACCUUGUUAUAGGCCUAGGCUAUCGCUCAUCAAUUCACCAAGAAGUUAAAAUUUUGUCUGCUUAGCACCUCGAGACAGAAGAAAACCUCGAAAAUGGUUCAAGUCAUAUGAACCCACAGUACUGCAUGUAAGGCUCAUCUAAAUGCUCCCCUCAUGUGCCUUCCACCGUUCAAGUCUCUUCUUCCACCACGUUCCACAAAUUUCGGUGGGAAUCUCUCCUUUGGACUGAUUCCUUGUCCGUUACCUCUAAUAUACAUUCCUCGGCCUCUGAUGAACCGAGUUGGUCCUGGGUUCAUGGACACUCCCCUGAAUCCUCUUGGAGACACAUCACCACGGAAUAUCCACGGCAUACCUCGUCCUCUGGGGUUUAUUCCUCGUACUCCUGAUAAAAUACCAGUAAAACUUGAAUUCCAAAACUCGGGGCUAUCCAAUGAACUACCAAGACAACAAACAACUGAACUUCAAAGAUAAUGCUCCAGAACAAUCCACAGCAUCUUGGAAAAUUGCUUCCUCAAGAAAAGGUCAUGUUUUUGCCACAGAGUACAACCCAACUCAAUCAACCACUGGAUCAAGGCUGAUGACCAGUGCUUUCCAGAGCAACAAAGUCAUCAACAUGAAGGGAGGGUGGUCUGGAUGUGUUUGGCGGGCGAGAGCGGAAUGGAUCACUUCUUGAAUUCAUUCCUCGGUUAAAUGAACGACCUCUCAUGGGCGCCACUGGAAAAAAUGAUGGAGAUGAUCAUGUUAAACCUCAGGAGGAACUAACCAGAAGGACGGAAUCUCGUCAUCAGCCACUGGAACGGUCCAAACUACCCGUGAAGCAAAGAGUGCUUGCAAAGUUUCCAUCUCUGGGCCUGCUGGCUCACUUAGUUCUGCAAAGGUCCAAAUU